AACUAGAGCUGCUUGUGUUACUUCAGGCCAUGGCCUUUCUGGGGGUCAACAGAUAGCUUCAUUAAUUAGAUAGAUCAGAUUCAACUUACUGGCCAGUGCCCCUGAUAUUAAGUUCUGGCUUUGUCAGUGGGGUUUGUUGUAUUCCCUCAACCCUAUCACCAUGGCUCAGUGACCCUAUUUGGAAUACCAGCAGGACUAGAAGGGUAGUGGUGUAAAACCUUUAAAUGAUAUGAGGCACUCUGCCUUUCAGUGCUUUUUAGAUAAAGGUUCAUAGAUCACUGAAGUUAACUGCAGUCUUCACUCUUUCUGGAUUGACAGGAAUAGCACCCUCAAAUUUCAGAGCCAUCAGACACCAUGGUAUCAUGCUAUCGGAGUUGACUGUUGAAAGUUGCUUAAUAUCCCUGAUAUGGAAUGUGCAGAUGUCCCACUAUUAACUCCAAGCAGCAAAGAAAUGAUGUCUCAAGCAUUAAAAGCUACUUUCAGUGGUUUCACUAAAGAACAGCAACGACUGGGGAUCCCAAAAGACCCCCGGCAGUGGACAGAAA
rnacentral:lncRNA from 1 species